AUACGUCUUAUUUUGCCCCAAAAAGGGCGAUUUCACUGAGAUAUUGAUAGAUAUAUAUAGUAAUAUAAUAAAACAGCAUAAAAAUAUUUUUUUGGUAAUUUAAAAAAAAAAGCAAUUUAGUUUAAUUCGACAUCGAAAAUAUUUCAAGGGAGGUAACUCUGAACCGCUGACCCGCAAAAGCGAAAAUACAGAACUUCACAGCAGGGACACAUUUUGAUAAAAUUAAACGAAAUUUGUAGUCUCUGUGCGUCUAUGGAGAAACCUGAAAUGGAAACGGAGUGGGAGAGUACACGUGGUUAUGAGACAAAAUUCAGUAGAUUCAAUUAUACUUCAAGCUUGAUGCUGUUAUGUUUUCUGUUUCCAACUGUGACAGAACCUGGAACAGAAAUGAAGUGUGUGACAAUAAUUCAUCAACAAAUUUAGACUAAUACUCUUUCAUGGAUGCUAAAUUUGGUAGAUCUAGCCAUAAUCUUUUUAAUUAUAAUUCAAAGUGGUAUAUAGUUAUAUUUAUAAUAAUUCAUUGUUUGAAUUUGUUUUUAUAAAGCACUUUAUUGAACCAAAAUAAUCAUAGCUGCAUUUAGUAAAUUAUUUAGCACACAUGUGUGACUGCUGUCUCAUGCCUUAAGUGUUUCAGCUGCUAAAAUAUGUUUUGGGGAUAUUUUUUCUGGAUAGAAAUUUACCUUUCUGAUAUUGUACGAGUGUUUGGACAUUCCUUUCAAAGGUGAAAUAUGGCUACUUACAUUGCUUUGUUUCUAAUAAUGAUAUUGAAGGUGUAAAGUAUGUAAAUAUUUAUGUAAGAAAUUGAUUAAACAUAUUGGCCAAUCAUUGUCAUUCGUCGUGUGAUAAGUUUUUACUGGUUUGAGUUAAAAGACUGGUACAUAUAUGAUAAGUUUUAUUGCAUCUUUUAUUGAAAUCUUCAAGUAUUCAAUAUUAUUAUGAGUCUAGGUAAAUAUAUAUAUAUAUAUAUAGAUAUAUAUAGAUAUAUAUAUUUUUAAAAAAAUAUUUUGAAACAAGAAGCUUAUUUUUUUAUGUAACGUGUAUCCACUUUCCAUCUGCGAUCUUAACCUUUAUGUUUUCCUUUUUAUUAUUGGUCUAGAUGUACAUUAUUGUAUCAGCGUAAAUAAAUGUGAACUGAAAAUGUUAUUCUGAUGUAACAUUUGCAUCAAUUAUUACGUCAUUAAAUUACGUAUUCCAAGA
rnacentral:lncRNA from 1 species